CAAGUCGAACGGAAAGGCCUGCAGCUUGCUGCGGGUACUCGAGUGGCGAACGGGUGAGUAACACGUGGGUGAUCUGCCUUGCACUUCGGGAUAAGCUUGGGAAACUGGGUCUAAUACCGGAUAGGACAGCUGUUUAGUGUCAGUUGUGGAAAGUUUUUUCGGUGCAAGAUGAGCUCGCGGCCUAUCAGCUUGUUGGUGGGGUAAUGGCCUACCAAGGCGUCGACGGGUAGCCGGCCUGAGAGGGUGUACGGCCACAUUGGGACUGAGAUACGGCCCAGACUCCUACGGGAGGCAGCAGUGGGGAAUAUUGCACAAUGGGCGGAAGCCUGAUGCAGCGACGCCGCGUGGGGGAUGAAGGCCUUCGGGUUGUAAACUCCUUUCGACAGGGACGAAGCGUAAGUGACGGUACCUGUAUAAGAAGCACCGGCUAACUACGUGCCAGCAGCCGCGGUAAUACGUAGGGUGCGAGCGUUGUCCGGAAUUACUGGGCGUAAAGAGCUCGUAGGUGGUUUGUCGCGUCGUCUGUGAAAUUCCGGGGCUUAACUCCGGGCGUGCAGGCGAUACGGGCUGACUUGAGUGCUGUAGGGGAGACUGGAAUUCCUGGUGUAGCGGUGAAAUGCGCAGAUAUCAGGAGGAACACCGAUGGCGAAGGCAGGUCUCUGGGCAGUAACUGACGCUGAGGAGCGAAAGCAUGGGUAGCGAACAGGAUUAGAUACCCUGGUAGUCCAUGCCGUAAACGGUGGGCGCUAGGUGUAGGGGGCUUCCACGUCUUCUGUGCCGUAGCUAACGCAUUAAGCGCCCCGCCUGGGAGUACGCCGCAAGCUA
rnacentral:rRNA from 1 species